rnacentral:lncRNA from 1 species
AGAGUGCUCUAAAAAUAAAUGCUCUCUACUUGCUAAUAGAAUACUCUAGAGUACUGUAAAAAUAAAUACUAUCUCUACUUACUAAUAGAUCACUCUAGAGAGCUCUAGAAAUAAGUGCUCUGAAAUACUCUAGAAUGCUCAAGUUGGUGGGUUGAGGGUCUCUAAAUAGGUGUGAGGCCCCCACACUAAGUGAGGUGUGUAGUGAAGUGGUAAAGGUGUGUGGUGAAGUUGUAGUGGUGUGGUGAGGUAUAGUAUAGAGAGUGAGGGUGUAUAAGAGGUGUGUUGAGUUGUGAAGUUAAUGUAUGAGUCUUUUAGUCUUUUGGGUGUAUGUGAUAAAAUUAUAUGUCAGAGUUAAUUAUUUUGUGUGUAAUAAAGAGAGUUUUAUUAUUAGUUUGGUAUGCCAAUAUUCUACAAUUUGGUAUUAGAGAUAGAUUGUAGAAAAUAUUCUGCUAGUUAAGUCAGCGAAAUUCUGCCAGUCCAGACAGUUAAAUACCAAUAUAAGCAAAGAUUCUGCUGGUGCACAGUCUGGAACUGUGAAGUUGGUUGGUCUGAGACCAGACUUACUUGAUUGACUGCUGGGCAAUCACCAAGUCACUAUGGCAGAUCUUGUUGGUACAACUAGCGGAAUUAAGAGGCUAAAUAACCAUAAUUAUGGUUAUUGGCAAACCUGCAUUGAGUCCUGCCUAUAAGGGCAGGACCUAUGGGAGAUAAUUGGUGGUGCUGAAACAACUCCACCAUCGAAGGAGAAUGCAGAGGUGCUCAGGAAGUGGUGUAUGAAGGCAGGAAAUGCAAUGUUCGUUUUGAAGAUGACGAUCAAAGAAGAGCUGCUGGAGCAUAUCAAAGAAGCAGACGCCCAAGGCUGCAUGGGAUAUCCUCACCUCGUUAUUUUCAAAAAAGAACGAUGCUCGACUUCAACUGCUGGAGAAUAAGCUAAUGACGAAAUCUCAGGGCAACAUGACGAUUAGCCAGUACUUCAUGAAAGUAAAAUCUCUCUACCGCGAAAUUUUUCAGUUAGAUCCAUAGUAAAAAAUUAGUGAUCAGCAGAUAAAGAGAAUUAUUAUUCACGGCCUAAAACCCGAAUUUAACGGGUUUAUUACUGCUAUCUAAGGCUGGCCCACUCAACCAACGUUAGUGGAACUGAAAAAUUUAUUGCCAAAUCGGGAGGCUCUAGCUAAACAGAUGGCUAGAGUCUCACGAAAAAAUAAAAAGCAGGCACUCUCCAACAGUAGAAGAAAGGGUCAAGCAACAUGAGGGCCAAGAAAUAUGAAGCCGCUGAAGAAGUUCAGUGGGUCAAAACAUAGGUCGGGAGAGAGCCACCUUGCAGGGAGAGUCCACAACCAGAAGGACCAAAAUAACUAGCGAUCUAAAGCCGACAAACGACGAAGCGGAGAGUGUUACAACUGCGGCAAGAAAGUACACUUCGCCCGAGAUUGUUGGUACAUGAAGAAACAAGCACAAGGUAUAUGGCAACAUCAGGUGACCACCAAGCAGCAUAUAAUAGUAAAGAAGAGUGGGAUGCUCAUGCCUCCUUCGCCAUCAUAGAGUCAGAAGAAGACUGUCACUCAGACAAGAAGAAGGCUCUCGAAGAACAAAGGUCAGAAGACACUGCUACAGAGGAGAUGAGUCAAGGUAGCUAGAUAAAGCAAACUUUGGCAUGCCAAAACAAUAGCAAAUCCAAGAGAAGUGAAUUACAGUGCAGAUUGGAUCAUCGACUUUGGAUGUUCCAAUCAUAUAACCGGUGAUAAAGACAAUGUGCUCAGCACAACAGAAUAUAAAGGAAGAAGAGUAGUGGUGACAGCUAACAACUCGAAACUGCUAAUCACUCACAUAAGAAAGACGGUCAUCAUACCCAGAUUCAGCCCAUAUUAAGUACAACUACAGAACGUCUACCAUAUCUCAGGUAUAAAGAAAAAUCUCUUAUCAAUAUCACAAUUGAUUGCAUCAGGCAAUUAUGUAGUAUUUGGGCCACAAUAUGUCAAGGUAUUUCGUAGUCCCAAGAUAUCAGGUAUACAAAUUAUGUAAGAAAAGAGAGUAGAGUCGAUCUAUGUAAUGUCUACAAAUCGACAUACGUAGAAAAGUCUCGAAAAAGUGAGACUGCUAACUUGUGGCAUACAAGACUGGGACAUGUAGGGUAUUACAAACUAAAAAUUAUGAUGGAGCGCAGUAUGUUGAACGGCUUACCUCAACUUUAAGUACGAGGAGACACAAUCUGCGCAGGAUGCUAGUUUGGUAAGACUCAUCAACUUCCCCAUAUUGAAUCCAAAUAUAGAGCCAAGGAACCAUCGAAACUCGUGCACUCUGUUGUUUUUGGACAAGUCAAGCAAACAUCUAUCAGCGGCAUGUGCUACAUAGUGACGGUCAUUGAAGACUUCUCAAGGUGCAUCUGGAUAUACUUAAUUUAUUAAAGAAAAAAAUAAAGUGCUACAAAAUUUAAAAAGUUUAAAGAAAAAGUUGAAAGCCAAACUGGCCAUAAUAUACGAUGCCUGCGCACGGAUAAUAGAGGUGAAUAUACCUCAAUAGAGUUCUCAGCUUAUCUACGAGAGUAAAAAUAAAGGAGACAACUUACGUCUCCAUGCACUCCGCAAUAAAAUGGUAUAGCUGAGAGAAAGAAUAGACACUUAGCAGAAACUUGUCGAAGCAUGCCGCAUGCAAAGAAUGUGCCAAGCAUAUUUUGGGUAGAAUGUAUGAGAACAACAGCACAUGUCAUCAACCGACUACCUCAACCAAGGUUGGGAUUCAUCUCACCCAAUCAAGUACUGUGGAAGAUCAAACCCACAGUAAGUCAUUUUCGAGUUUUUGGUUGUGUGUGGUAUGUGUUCGUACCGGACCAUCUUCGAAGUAAAAUCGACAAGAAGGCUAUACGAUGUAUCUUCGUCGGGUACGACAGUGAAAGAAAAGGGUGGAGAUGCUGUGAUCCAACAAUUAGUCAUUGCUACACGUCAAGAAAUGUUGUGUUCAAUGAAGCGUUGUCCUGGUGGUCAUCACAAGAAGUUAUACUGCCAGACUCUAAAGAAAUAAAAAUCAAGCUACAAGAAAAGCUUGGAGAGCAAGUACAAGAAGAGAAGACGACAUCAGAGCAAGGAGAAAGUGGUCAACCUUCCAUAGAGCCAACCAGUGACGAGCGGCAACUCCAAAAGUCUACAAAACCCUCGCAAAAUGGCGUGCAUUUUCAAACCCCAGAAGAAGAUCGACCAAGCCAAAUUGCAAAUACAAGUGCGCAAUUACGAAAGUCUUCUAGGCAAAGAAAACAUAAUCCUAAAUAUGCAAAUGCUGCUCUUGCUGGAAAAGAAAAAAUUCCAAAAAAGCCGGCCACCUAUAAGGAAGCAGUUACAAGCAAGAAGUGGAGGAACGCGAUAGACAAAGAGAUCCAAGUGCUAAAGCAAAAUUAGACUUGGGAGAUAGUACCAAAGCCAAAGGAUGUGAAGCCCAUAUCAUGUCAAUAGGUAUAUAAAGUAAAGAUCCAUCCAGAUAUGUCAAUAGAGAGGUACAAAGUUCAAAAAGUUUCGGAAGCGAUUAGAAAUACUUAGCAGAGCAACAUUAAGAGAGAGUCAAAGUUGAGGGGGAAUAUUGAAACAGGUAACUCUCUCUCUCUCUCUCUCUCUCUCUUUUAUAUAGAACACUCUAGAGUGCUGUAGAAAUAAGUGCUCUCUACUUGCUAAUAGAACACUUUAGAGUGCUCUAGAAACAAGUGCUCUCUCUAUUUGUUAAUAGAGCACUCUAGAGAGCUUUAGAAAUAAGCUAGUGCUCUAAAUUAAUACUCUAGAGUGCUCAAGUUGGUGGACUGGGGGCCUAUAAAUAGGUGUGAGGUCCCCACACUAAGUGAGGUGUGUAGUGAAGUGGUAAAGGUGUGUGGUAAAGUUGUAGUGGUGUGUAGUGAAGUGGUAAAGGUGUGUGGUAAAGUCGCAGUGGUGUAGUGAGGUAUAGUGUAGAGAGUGAGGGUGUAUAAAAGGUGUGUUGAAUUGUGAAGUUAGUGUGUGAAUCUUUUAGUCUUUCGGGUGUAUGUGAUAAAAUUAUACAUAAGAGUUACUUUGUAUGUAAUAAAGAGAGUUUUAUUGUUAAUUGGUACCCCAAUAUUCUAUAGUUGUUAUAUAUUUAACAUGGUACCAAAGAAAGAGAUCUUGAAUUCAAAUUCUAUCGGACAUAUGAGAAAGACUAUUAAAUAUGAAUGUUAAAAAU